AUCGCGGAUGGAAAUUCAAUAACUUUCCGAUUUGCCGUCUAUUUUUUUUUUUUUUUUUAUUAUCAUCCGUUACCGUUAUUAGCUAUACGCAUAUAAUAAUAACAAUAACGACAACGCGUAACCGACCCGACCGAGAAAAACGAAAAACAAAACGAGUAACGAGAGAAAGAACAAAAGUUCGCCCGGAAACGCGUCUCCGUUACGCGUCAUCGGCCGCGAUCG